UUAAGCGACUAAGCGUACACGGUGGAUGCCCUGGCAGUCAGAGGCGAUGAAGGACGUGCUAAUCUGCGAUAAGCGUCGGUAAGGUGAUAUGAACCGUUAUAACCGGCGAUUUCCGAAUGGGGAAACCCAGUGUGAUUCGUCACACUAUCAUUAACUGAAUCCAUAGGUUAAUGAGGCGAACCGGGGGAACUGAAACAUCUAAGUACCCCGAGGAAAAGAAAUCAACCGAGAUUCCCCCAGUAGCGGCGAGCGAACGGGGAGCAGCCCAGAGCCUGAAUCAGUGUGUGUGUUAGUGGAAGCGUCUGGAAAGGCGCGCGAUACAGGGUGACAGCCCCGUACACAAAAAUGCACAUACUGUGAGCUCGAUGAGUAGGGCGGGACACGUGGUAUCCUGUCUGAAUAUGGGGGGACCAUCCUCCAAGGCUAAAUACUCCUGACUGACCGAUAGUGAACCAGUACCGUGAGGGAAAGGCGAAAAGAACCCCGGCGAGGGGAGUGAAAAAGAACCUGAAACCGUGUACGUACAAGCAGUGGGAGCACAGAGCAAUCUGUGUGACUGCGUACCUUUUGUAUAAUGGGUCAGCGACUUAUAUUCUGUAGCAAGGUUAACCGAAUAGGGGAGCCGAAGGGAAACCGAGUCUUAACUGGGCGUUAAGUUGCAGGGUAUAGACCCGAAACCCGGUGAUCUAGCCAUGGGCAGGUUGAAGGUUGGGUAACACUAAUUGGAGGACCGAACCGACUAAUGUUGAAAAAUUAGCGGAUGACUUGUGGCUGGGGGUGAAAGGCCAAUCAAACCGGGAGAUAGCUGGUUCUCCCCGAAAGCUAUUUAGGUAGCGCCUCGUGAAUUCAUCUCCGGGGGUAGAGCACUGUUUCGGCAAGGGGGUCAUCCCGACUUACCAACCCGAUGCAAACUGCGAAUACCGGAGAAUGUUAUCACGGGAGACACACGGCGGGUGCUAACGUCCGUCGUGAAGAGGGAAACAACCCAGACCGCCAGCUAAGGUCCCAAAGUCAUGGUUAAGUGGGAAACGAUGUGGGAAGGCCCAGACAGCCAGGAUGUUGGCUUAGAAGCAGCCAUCAUUUAAAGAAAGCGUAAUAGCUCACUGGUCGAGUCGGCCUGCGCGGAAGAUGUAACGGGGCUAAACCAUGCACCGAAGCUGCGGCAGCGACGCUGAUGCGUUGUUGGGUAGGGGAGCGUUCUGUAAGCCUGUGAAGGUGUGCUGUGAGGCAUGCUGGAGGUAUCAGAAGUGCGAAUGCUGACAUAAGUAACGAUAAAGCGGGUGAAAAGCCCGCUCGCCGGAAGACCAAGGGUUCCUGUCCAACGUUAAUCGGGGCAGGGUGAGUCGACCCCUAAGGCGAGGCCGAAAGGCGUAGUCGAUGGGAAACAGGUUAAUAUUCCUGUACUUGGUGUUACUGCGAAGGGGGGACGGAGAAGGCUAUGUUGGCCGGGCGACGGUUGUCCCGGUUUAAGCGUGUAGGCUGGUUUUCCAGGCAAAUCCGGAAAAUCAAGGCUGAGGCGUGAUGACGAGGCACUACGGUGCUGAAGCAACAAAUGCCCUGCUUCCAGGAAAAGCCUCUAAGCAUCAGGUAACAUCAAAUCGUACCCCAAACCGACACAGGUGGUCAGGUAGAGAAUACCAAGGCGCUUGAGAGAACUCGGGUGAAGGAACUAGGCAAAAUGGUGCCGUAACUUCGGGAGAAGGCACGCUGAUAUGUAGGUGAAGUCCCUCGCGGAUGGAGCUGAAAUCAGUCGAAGAUACCAGCUGGCUGCAACUGUUUAUUAAAAACACAGCACUGUGCAAACACGAAAGUGGACGUAUACGGUGUGACGCCUGCCCGGUGCCGGAAGGUUAAUUGAUGGGGUCAGCGCAAGCGAAGCUCUUGAUCGAAGCCCCGGUAAACGGCGGCCGUAACUAUAACGGUCCUAAGGUAGCGAAAUUCCUUGUCGGGUAAGUUCCGACCUGCACGAAUGGCGUAAUGAUGGCCAGGCUGUCUCCACCCGAGACUCAGUGAAAUUGAACUCGCUGUGAAGAUGCAGUGUACCCGCGGCAAGACGGAAAGACCCCGUGAACCUUUACUAUAGCUUGACACUGAACAUUGAGCCUUGAUGUGUAGGAUAGGUGGGAGGCUUUGAAGUGUGGACGCCAGUCUGCAUGGAGCCGACCUUGAAAUACCACCCUUUAAUGUUUGAUGUUCUAACGUUGACCCGUAAUCCGGGUUGCGGACAGUGUCUGGUGGGUAGUUUGACUGGGGCGGUCUCCUCCUAAAGAGUAACGGAGGAGCACGAAGGUUGGCUAAUCCUGGUCGGACAUCAGGAGGUUAGUGCAAUGGCAUAAGCCAGCUUGACUGCGAGCGUGACGGCGCGAGCAGGUGCGAAAGCAGGUCAUAGUGAUCCGGUGGUUCUGAAUGGAAGGGCCAUCGCUCAACGGAUAAAAGGUACUCCGGGGAUAACAGGCUGAUACCGCCCAAGAGUUCAUAUCGACGGCGGUGUUUGGCACCUCGAUGUCGGCUCAUCACAUCCUGGGGCUGAAGUAGGUCCCAAGGGUAUGGCUGUUCGCCAUUUAAAGUGGUACGCGAGCUGGGUUUAGAACGUCGUGAGACAGUUCGGUCCCUAUCUGCCGUGGGCGCUGGAGAACUGAGGGGGGCUGCUCCUAGUACGAGAGGACCGGAGUGGACGCAUCACUGGUGUUCGGGUUGUCAUGCCAAUGGCACUGCCCGGUAGCUAAAUGCGGAAGAGAUAAGUGCUGAAAGCAUCUAAGCACGAAACUUGCCCCGAGAUGAGUUCUCCCUGACCCUUUAAGGGUCCUGAAGGAACGUUGAAGACGACGACGUUGAUAGGCCGGGUGUGUAAGCGCAGCGAUGCGUUGAGCUAACCGGUACUAAUGAACCGUGAGGCUUAACCU
rnacentral:rRNA from 1 species